GAUGAACGCUGGCGGCGUGCCUAAUACAUGCAAGUCGAGCGAACAGACGAGGAGCUUGCUCCUCUGACGUUAGCGGCGGACGGGUGAGUAACACGUGGAUAACCUACCUAUAAGACUGGGAUAACUUCGGGAAACCGGAGCUAAUACCGGAUAAUAUAUUGAACCGCAUGGUUCAAUAGUGAAAGACGGUUUUGCUGUCACUUAUAGAUGGAUCCGCGCCGCAUUAGCUAGUUGGUAAGGUAACGGCUUACCAAGGCAACGAUGCGUAACCGACCUGAGAGGGUGAUCGGCCACACUGGAACUGAGACACGGUCCAGACUCCUAAGGAGGGCAGCAGUAGGGAAUCUUCCGCAAUGGGCGAAAGCCUGACGGAGCAACGCCGCGUGAGUAAUGAAGGUCUUCGGAUCGUAAAACUCUGUUAUUAGGGAAGAACAAAUGUGUAAGUAACUAUGCACGUCUUGACGGUACCUAAUCAGAAAGCCACGGCUAACUACGUG
rnacentral:rRNA from 1 species